rnacentral:tRNA from 1 species
GAGGGUACAGAUCAGUGGUGGAGCACAUGCUUAGCAUGCAUGAGGUCCUGGGUUCUAUCCCCAGUACCUCUG